rnacentral:rRNA from 1 species
CCCUUAGAGUUUGAUCCUGGCUCAGGAUGAACGCUGGCGGCGUGCCUAAUACAUGCAAGUCGAACGAAUCUCUUCGGAGAUGAGUGGCGAACGGGUGAGUAAUACAUAGGUAACCUGCCCCUGUGCGGGGGAUAACAGGAGGAAACUCCUGCUAAUACCGCAUAGCCAUGAGCACCGCAUGGAGCUCAUGCCAAAUAUCCUUUCGGGGAUAGCGCAGGGAUGGACCUAUGGCGCAUUAGCUUGUUGGCGGGGCAACGGCCCACCAAGGCAACGAUGCGUAGCCGGCCUGAGAGGGCGGACGGCCACAUUGGGACUGAGACACGGCCCAGACUCCUACGGGAGGCAGCAGUAGGGAAUUUUCGGCAAUGGGGGAAACCCUGACCGAGCAACGCCGCGUGAGCGAAGAAGGCCUUCGGGUCGUAAAGCUCUGUUGUAAAGGAAGAACGGCGCAUACAGGAAAUGGUAUGCGAGUGACGGUACUUUACCAGAAAGCCACGGCUAACUACGUGCCAGCAGCCGCGGUAAUACGUAGGUGGCGAGCGUUAUCCGGAAUCAUUGGGCGUAAAGAGGGAGCAGGCGGCCGCAAGGGUCUGUGGUGAAAGACCGAAGCUAAACUUCGGUAAGCCAUGGAAACCGGGCGGCUAGAGUGCGGAAGAGGAUCGUGGAAUUCCAUGUGUAGCGGUGAAAUGCGUAGAUAUAUGGAGGAACACCAGUGGCGAAGGCGACGGUCUGGGCCGCAACUGACGCUCAUUCCCGAAAGCGUGGGGAGCAAAUAGGAUUAGAUACCCUAGUAGUCCACGCCGUAAACGAUGGUCACUAAGUGUCGGGGGUCAAACCCCGGUGCUGCAGUCAACGCAAUAAGUGACCCGCCUGAGUAGUACGUUCGCAAGAAUGAAACUCAAAGGAAUUGACGG